rnacentral:rRNA from 1 species
AUGAGCAGCGGUUUCUACAAUACCCUGACUUGUUUGUCUAUCAUCAUAGGUGAGCUCAUACUCUCCAGGCUUAAUUGGUCACGAUAUGACAUGGAGGUGGCAAAACUAUCGACAGGCGCGGCAUGGACAAACCUUCCAUCCCCAUCAGGGAUGACGGAGAACACCGUGAUCCCCACUCUCAAGGCCUUCUCCUUGCGAGCCUAUGACCCAAAGCAGGUGAUCAUUGCUGGCGGCGAUCAGGAGGUUGUGGUGAUCUCUCCUUCUGGUGGCCUACUGGCGUCGAUCGACCUCCCCGCGCCGCCGACUUACGCACUAAUCCUUGAGGAUUUCUCCGGGGAUGGGCUGACUGAUUUCAUGCUGGUGACAUCCGGGGGAGUGUAUGGAUUUGUGCAGACGAGGCAGCCUGGGGCGCUCUUCUUCGGCACGCUCGUCGGCUGCUUGAUCGUCGCGAUCAGGGCGAUUCUUGUUUCUCUACACCUCAACUCGUCGAACAACGGUAAACCAAGGUCUUCUUCGACCGACUACAGGUGA